rnacentral:rRNA from 1 species
UACAGAGGUCCCAAGCGUUGUUCGGAUUCAUUGGGCGUAAAGGGUGCGUAGGUGGCGCCGUAAGUGGGGUGUGAAAUUUCGGAGCUUAACUCCGAAACUGCAUUCCAUACUGCGGUGCUUGAGGACUGGAGAGGAGACUGGAAUUUACGGUGUAGCAGUGAAAUGCGUAGAGAUCGUAAGGAAGACCAGUGGCGAAGGCGGGUCUCUGGACAGUUCCUGACGCUGAGGCACGAAGGCCAGGGGAGCAAACGGG